GGCGCGGCGCGGGGCCGCGCGGGGGGGCAUGGUCCGCCCAGGCCGGGCCCUCCGCGCAUUCCUCCCUGAAGAGCCCUGUCACGAGGGAGAGGCUCUUUAAAGAGGAUUUUCAGGCUUAGAAAGCUGCGCUUUAAAGGAUGACCCUUCUGACGCCAGCAUACCUGCCCUGUGCAUACACUUGUGGAAAGUUACUUGGAUUCUGAUCACAGUUUUCACAUUUUGAGUAAAGCAUAAAGAAGCUAUUGCUACAGAGACCUCUCAAUGCUAUAUGGAAGGUUUGGUUUAAAACUAUGAAAUAGAUACAAAUCUCACGGUGCUGCAACAGGUCAAACAAGGAAACUGUAAGAAGUUUGGAAAUAGAAGUGGAAUAAUCUCAAUCACGAAAGCAUCCUAUCUCCUUAAUUUUCAGUGGAAGAUAGAAGUUGAAACUACUACAGGUUUCUUCAUUAAAUAAAUCAAAGACGUUUCAUUAAAUAA